rnacentral:rRNA from 1 species
GGACUACUAGGGUAUCUAAUCCUGUUUGCUCCCCUAGCUUUCGCAGUUGAGUGUCAGUAAUGGUCCAGGUACCUGCUUUCGCCAUCGGUGUUCCUCCCGAUAUCUGCGCAUUUCACCGCUACACCGGGAAUUCCAGUACCCUCUCCCACACUCAAGUCUGGCAGUUUCUGUUGACCUCUCUCAGUUAAGCCGAGAGCUUUCACAACAGACUUACCGAACCACCUACCUGCCCUUUACGCCUAGUAAUUCCGAGUAACGCUUGCCACCUUCGUAUUACCGCGGCUGCUGGCAC